GCGUUUCUGCCGCGCUCGUGAGCGGCCUCCAAUAAAUGAUCCUAGUCAAUGUCAUGGGACCUGACUCGAUUUCGCUCCGGUGAGCAAGCUCCGGCAGGAAACUGCCAUGGAGAAGCCUGAAGGGGCGCGGAGGGUUCCGCCCUGGAAGUUUAAGGGUCAAAUGACGGGGGUUGUAACGGCGAUGGCGGUGCGUU
rnacentral:other from 1 species